CCACAUGUACGACUCGGACAGCGACGGCCGCAUCACUCUGGAAGAAUAUCGAAAUGUAAAGUGGUCGAGGAGCUGCUGUCGGGAAACCCUCACAUCGAGAAGGAGUCCGCUCGCUCCAUCGCCGACGGGGCCAUGAUGGAGGCGGCCAGCGUGUGCAUGGGGCAGAUGAUCUGGCAGGGGAUCGACAUUGAGACCAAGAUGCACGUCCGCUUCCUUAACAUGGAAACCAUGGCCCUCUGCCACUGACCCACCGCCACCUCCGCGGAGAAACUGCACUUUGCAAUGGGGCCGCCUCCCCGCGUAGCUGGAGCAGCCCAGGCCCGGCGGACAGCCUCUUCCUGCAGCGCCGGUACAUAGCCAAGGCUCGUCUGCGCACCUUGUGUCUUGUAGGGUAUGGUAUGUGGGACUUCGCUGUUUUUAUC
rnacentral:lncRNA from 1 species